UCUCCUAUAAAUGUUCAAAGACUACCCUCUCAACCAGGGGGUCUGAAAGGGGCAAAACGAUCUCGUUCGUCCGUUUCACCGCACAGUAAAGUUCUGAAACCCGCUUUUCAUCUCAGCCGUCGGAUGUGGUCAUUCUUUUCUCACCUGUUGGUAUUCUGAGAGAGUCCAUGACGCGUGGGACCAACUGCUUGCGGGACCGACAAUGUGAGACAGCCAGGCGCUCUCGUUCGCGUGAACUUCCAAGCGCGCGAUGGGAAGGGGUGAAAACCUAGAUCGGCUCGCAUGCCUCCUCUGCUCCUCGUCCAAUCCCCAACUCCUCCUCACCUCCCCAAUCGCCGCCACCCCUCCUCCUCUCCUCCCCAAUCACCGCCACCCCUCCUCCUUCCCCAAUCUGCGCCGCUACGGCUGGACGCGGCAGCGGUCGUGGCAGGGGCGGCCGGCUGCUUCAGAGGAGGGAGCACGGCCCAUGAGAUGAAGAGGAGGCGGGGUGGACCGUGCCUCGACCUCAACCUUCCUCUUCUGAGGAGGGCGGAUGGCGGCGGCGACCGGAGGCGCCGGGCGCGGCCACAGAAGGGCCGACGCGCGGCGGAUCCGCUUUGCCGCCGGCAGCUGGACGCGGCAGCGUUGGGGACGGACGACGCGCCAACGCGGAGCAGCGGCAUGCUCCGGAUGCGGAAAAAGGAGGUGUAGGUCGUCGCGGGAGCUCCGACGGCGGCGGCGGUCAAACAGCAGAGUGGCCUCCUCACAGUGGAGGAUCUUCUCCAUCGACGGGCGAGAUCCGGGGUAGGGCCGGCCAGAUCGUUGCGGGCGGCGGAUUUCGAGCGUGGGCGACAGCGACCAUGAGUAUGGGUACCCGUCUUCUUCCCCAGCCAUUCAGUGACUAACGCCCCGAGCGACAACGGAUGCCAGCUGCUGCUUGGAGCCUGGUGGAGUCGGCGCCCUUGCUGCAGCCUACAGCCGUCUCCCCUUGCCCGCUGACUCAUGAUGCAAUCACAGCUGCCCGGGUCGAUCCACACUUCUCCCUUUGCUACAUAGAAACAGAUCAGUUGUUGAAAAUAUAUUAAAAAGAUAGAAGAAUGGUCUCUUGCAAGCAAAAUUUGAUAGUCUGUCGUGUUUUUGAUGGACACCUUCUUAAACUCUUAACUUAUGCUAAAGCGUAUAGAAGAGUGGUACCUGUAAUCAUGGGAUGUUGUUGUUUAAGCUUGCUUGAAUGUUGUGCUACCGUGCUUGCCUAUUUGGUGACGGAAGACUGGAACGAAACCGACCGCCGGCACGGGUUUGGGGGAUGCUGGCCAACAGGAACGGCAUUCAAGUUCAUGGCCCUAGGUUGGGAAGCAGCGCUCGUCGCGGCGAGCAGGCUGAUUUCAAUACGCCAAGGUAAACUUGAGGGCUGGCAUGGGGAGAAGCGGAAGGAGGUCUGGCAUGACAGCAUGUAGGUUAUAGGUUGAGGCCACGGAAAGCAAGCACACCAGAAAACGUCCCAAGCCAUUCGGUUAAAUGUGCAGGAUACAUGAUCAGGUUAUGAUGGAUUCUGCAGCUUAUGUUUCUGUUAGCAAAAUGGACAACAUCCAGCGCUUCUUGGAUAAUAUGUUGAGGUUCAGGAAUCAAUACAUGGGCAAGAAAAAUUCUGAAGGAAAAGGACAUGGAUGCUCUAUCUUCAGGAAAAGGACAUGGAUGCUCUAUCUUCAGGAAAAGGACAUGGAUGAUCUAGAAGAUAUGCACCCUCAAGGAGAAUAGGUCGGGUAAUUGUUUUUGCAUGUGAAUUCUCUUGUUCUUUGUUUUUCAUGGGGGUUAGAUAUUCUAUUUUGACAUCUGUUGGGUUGAAGCUUGUGCUUUUACACUAGGAAGCGCGGUUAACUUUUCUUUCUAAACGAGGAAUGGUGCUUUAAUUAAAUAUGAAUGCAAACAUUCGGAUACAUACAAUGUUUCUAUUAUAAUGUCUCCUAGAUAUGCAUACUGCGUAUAGAGUUUCGUUUAUAGCUUAACUUUUUACGAGUGAUUGAUGUCUGAAUUUGGGUAUCUCCUUAUAUGUGUAUUCUGUAUUUUGCCACAUUGCUUACCCCUGAACUGUGUUGUGAUAUAUUGUGCACAAAAGAGCAAACUUAAAACAAUAUUUGGGGAUAGCCUGCUACUGUAUUAUGGAAUGUUGGUUAAAUAGACAGUAGACUGUACUUUAAAAUUCUUUAAGUCUAAAAAAUAGCUCCAGUCUUCAUUACAUUGUCUGACGUCCUGACUUAUAUUUAUGUUCGGUUGUAUACAUAGUAGGAUCAUUUAUUCUUGCCCCCUCCAAAUUUGUUGGUCAACAUAGAAACAGUAGUGGCUUUCUUCCCCAAAGAUCUGUAGCUCGUGGAAGCGGAAGAUGUGGCACAAGGAGCAGAUGAAAGAGGAAUAGGAAGAUGCCCGGUGCCUCCAAACAUUCUUGUUGCCUGACGAGGUCGCUUGGCUUAGAGCAGUGCAACUUGGAGGAAUGGAGGUGGAGACAACGAUAAAGCGGAGAUCCUUCUGGCUCAUGGCAGAGCUUCCUGGCGGUGAUCACACAACGAUGAGGUUGUGAUUCCUUUUUACUCAGAUUGAGAUGAUAGCAGUAUCGGGUGAGAUGAGGCAGCCUGACGAACACACUGUUUUAAUCGGGUGCAGGUGAGCCUCUUUAUGUGUAUCUUCUCCUCUUCACAUAUUCUGAUAUUCUUAGGUUCUCCAUCAUGUCUGUUUAGUUUCUAAAGCCUUCGCAGGAGGUGAUUAUAUGUCGGCGGGAGACCAUAUCAAGUAGCGCGAAGGAGAGACCUGGUUAUGCUUAAAUGAGAAUAGCAACCUAUUCUUUUCCGAGGAGCAAAUAUUUGGCACAUAAUUAACAACGGGCUUUUUUUUGGUUCCAUGGAGUGUCAUUGUCGUCUUUGUUGGAACAUUGGCUAGGCUGUUCCUGGGUAAUUGUUUUAGACACUGGCUCUUUUGGUUACAUGCUUAUGAUGUUAUGUUCCCUAAGCAAUUGUUUGCUCCCAUUCGGUUACCUACUGGAAAUCUGCUACAUCUAUUGGAUUUCAGUGCAAGUGCUCAAACCUUAAAUUCUCUUCUA